GAGUUUGAUCGUGGCUCAGAACGAACGCUGGCGGCAGGCCUAACACAUGCAAGUCGAACGCCGUAGCAAUACGGAGUGGCAGACGGGUGAGUAACGCGUGGGAACCUUCCCUAUGGUUCGGAAUAGCUCAGGGAAACCUGGGGUAAUACCGAAUAAGCCCUUCGGGGGAAAGAUUUAUCGCCAUUGGAUGGGCCCGCGUCGGAUUAGCUAGUUGGUGGGGUAACGGCCUACCAAGGCGACGAUCCGUAGCUGGUCUGAGAGGAUGAUCAGCCACACUGGGACUGAGACACGGCCCAGACUCCUACGGGGGGCAGCAGUGGGGAAUAUUGGACAAUGGGCGCAAGCCUGAUCCAGCCAUGCCGCGUGAGUGACGAAGGCCUUAGGGUUGUAAAGCUCUUUUGGCGGGGAAGAUAAUGACGGUACCCGCAGAAUAAGCUCCGGCUAACUUCGUGCCAGCAGCCGCAGUAAG
rnacentral:rRNA from 1 species